UGAGGAAUAUUGGUCAAUGGACGCAAGUCUGAACCAGCCACGUCGCGUGAAGGAAGACGGCCCUACGGGUUGUAAACUUCUUUUAUACGGGAAUAAAGUGCCCCACGCGUGGGGUUUUGCAUGUACCGUAUGAAUAAGGAUCGGCUAACUCCGUGCCAGCAGCCGCGGUAAUACGGAGGAUCCGAGCGUUAUCCGGAUUUAUUGGGUUUAAAGGGUGCUCAGGCGGGGGAUUAAGUCGGCGGUGAAAUUUUGCAGCUCAACUGUAAAAGUGCCUUCGAAACUGGUUUCCUUGAGUGUGGAUGAGGUAGGCGGAAUUUGUGGUGUAGCGGUGAAAUGCAUAGAUAUCACGAGGAACUCCGAUUGCGCAGGCAGCUUACUAAACCAUAACUGACGCUCAAGCACGAAGGCGUGGGGAUCAAACAGG
rnacentral:rRNA from 2 species